AUUGAACGCUGGCGGAAGGCUUUACACAUGCAAGUCGAACGGCAGCACGGACUUCGGUCUGGUGGCGAGUGGCGAACGGGUGAGUAAUGUAUCGGAACGUGCCCAGUCGUGGGGGAUAACGUAGUGAAAAUGACGCUAAUACCGCAUACGAUCUAUGGAUGAAAGCGGGGGGUCGCAAGCCCUUGCGCGAGUGGAGAGGCCGAGAUCAGAUUAGGUAGUUGGUGGGGUAAAGGCCCACCAAGCCAACGAUCUGUAGCUGGUCUGAGAGGACGACCAGCCACACUGGAACUGAGACACGGUCCAGACUCCUACGGGAGGCAGCAGUGGGGAAUUUUGGACAAUGGGCGAAAGCCUGAUCCAGCCAUUCCGCGUGAAGGAUGAAGGCCCUCGGGUUGUAAACUGCUUUUGUACAGAACGAAAAGGUUUCUACUAAUACUAGGAGCUCAUGACGGUACUGUAAGAAUAAGCACCGGCUAACUACGUGCCAGCCGCCGCAGUAA
rnacentral:rRNA from 1 species